GACGAACGCUGGCGGCGUGCCUAAUACAUGCAAGUAGAACGCUGAAGGAGGAGCUUGCUCUUCUGGAUGAGUUGCGAACGGGUGAGUAACGCGUAGGUAACCUGCCUGGUAGCGGGGGAUAACUAUUGGAAACGAUAGCUAAUACCGCAUAACAGUAGAUGUUGCAUGACAUUUGCUUAAAAGGUGCAAUUGCACCACUACCAGAUGGACCUGCGUUGUAUUAGCUAGUUGGUGGGGUAACGGCUCACCAAGGCGACGAUACAUAGCCGACCUGAGAGGGUGAUCGGCCACACUGGGACUGAGACACGGCCCAGACUCCUACGGGAGGCAGCAGUAGGGAAUCUUAGGCAAUGGACGGAAGUCUGACCGAGCAACGCCGCGGGAGUGAAGAAGGUUUUCGGAUCGUAAAGCUCUGUUGUAAGAGAAGAACGAGUGUGAGAGUGGAAAGUUCACACUGUGACGGUAUCUUACCAGAAAGGGACGGCUAACUACGUG
rnacentral:rRNA from 1 species